rnacentral:rRNA from 1 species
GAUGAACGCUGGCGGCGUGCCUAAUACAUGCAAGUCGAGCGAACAGACGAGGAGCUUGCUCCUCUGACGUUAGCGGCGGACGGGUGAGUAACACGUGGAUAACCUACCUAUAAGACUGGGAUAACUUCGGGAAACCGGAGCUAAUACCGGAUAAUAUAUUGAACCGCAUGGUUCAAUAGUGAAAGACGGUUUUCCUGUCACUUAUAGAUGGAUCCGCGCCGCAUUAGCUAGUUGGUAAGGUAACGGCUUACCAAGGCAACGAUGCGUAGCCGACCUGAGAGGGUGAUCGGCCACACUGGAACUGAGACACGGUCCAGACUCCUACGGGAGGCAGCAGUAGGGAAUCUUCCGCAAAGGGCGAAAGCCUGACGGAGCAACGCCGCGUGAGUGAUGAAGGUCUUCGGAUCGUAAAACUCUGUUAUUAGGGAAGAACAAAUGUGUAAGUAACUAUGCACGUCUUGACGGUACCUAAUCAGAAAGCCACGGCUAACUACGUG